CCUACGGGUGGCUGCAGUGGGGAAUAUUGGACAAUGGGCGAAAGCCUGAUCCAGCCAUGCCGCGUGUGUGAAGAAGGCCUUCGGGUUGUAAAGCACUUUCAGUGGGGAAGAAAGCCUUGGGGCUAAUACCCUCGAGGAAGGACAUCACCCACAGAAGAAGCACCGGCUAACUCCGUGCCAGCAGCCGCGGUAAUACGGAGGGUGCGAGCGUUAAUCGGAAUUACUGGGCGUAAAGCGCGCGUAGGCGGUCUGAUAAGCCGGUUGUGAAAGCCCCGGGCUCAACCUGGGAACGGCAUCCGGAACUGUCAGGCUAGAGUGCAGUAGAGGAAGGUAGAAUUCCCGGUGUAGCGGUGAAAUGCGUAGAGAUCGGGAGGAAUACCAGUGGCGAAGGCGGCCUUCUGGACUGACACUGACGCUGAGGUGCGAAAGCGUGGGUAGCAAACAGGAUUAGAUACCCCUGUAGUC
rnacentral:rRNA from 1 species